GCGGACGUAGCUCAGUUGGUAGAGCGCUAGCUUCCCAAGCUGGAGGUCGCGGGUUCGAGACCCGUCGUCCGCUCCA
rnacentral:tRNA from 1 species